rnacentral:rRNA from 1 species
GACAGAGGAUGCAAGCGUUAUCCGGAAUGAUUGGGCGUAAAGCGUCUGUAGGUGGCUUUUCAAGUCCGCCGUCAAAUCCCAGGGCUCAACCCUGGACAGGCGGUGGAAACUACCAAGCUGGAGUACGGUAGGGGCAGAGGGAAUUCCGGUGGAGCGGUGAAAUGCAUUGAGAUCGGAAAGAACACCAACGGCGAAGCACUCCUGCUGGGCCGACACUGACACUGAGAGACGAAAGCUAGGGGAGCAAAUGGG